GUCUGUUUUUAAAUUUGCAAUGUAAUAGAAAUGGCAUCUAUAACUCAAAUUGGCAAUUAACCAGAAAUCUUGAGGAUUUCACUGAAACUUGGAAGGUGACUAUUGAUUUUUCUGCAUAAAGUGUAAAUGGCUGCUAGAACAAAUUUGCAUCUUAAGUCACCAUAGGAGCCUAUCAGCACUACAACAGAUACAUUAAUAUUGCUUAGAAGUUAAAUCUGAGCGAUAGGUCAGCCAAUGUAGUCCAUCUUGGUAUUACUUAGGAUCAGAAGGAGGAGCUGAAUAUUAAUCCUUGAUGUAAGCCAACUUGAAGGAAAUAUGUUUGUUAGUUGACUGAUUGUAUAGACUCCUGGCCUCUUCUUUUUUUCUAAUUCUUUUGUUGUAAUUUGGCAGCAUAAGCUUGGUAUAAAGUGAGACCAGACAGUUAAGAGGCUCAGUUAUGUUUAACCAAAGCUUGUCUUUGUUUAAAAAAAUGCUCAUUUUUUACAGGAUAUUAUAGUAUAUCGAAUCUUCUUAUUAUUGAUCUGUAACAACUCUGAGAAUGGAGUGAUAUUUUCCUUUAAAAACAAGGAAUGGUGAUUCAAAAAACCUCUCAUCUACCCAAGCAUAGGUUCAGUUUCAAUGCUUAAGCCUAAGUCUCAGACCUUCCAAAACAGGCUUCAAGUGAAAUUACUUGUAAUUUUGAAUGACUUCUUAAAACUUUUUUAUUUAUUUAACAAUUUCUUGAGUAUCAGCUGUUAGCAGGGCACAGAAAUGAGAUUCAUAAUUCAGUGACAUCAUGGAGUUAAAUGUCUAUCAGGGAGAUCAAUGUUAAAAUAAUCACAAAGCCUAAUAGUUGAUGUUACUUACAAGGAUUUUAUUUAGUUUAGAGGUUCAGAUAAUGCCUCUGAGUAAGUGAGUUUCUGGACUUGAACAUAAAUUAUGAGAAACCACCUAGAUAUAACUCAAGAAAAAAGAUGUCAGUCUAGAAUGAUGGGAAGAAUGUUUAUCUGGGAACCUCCUGUAGAACUGUCAAGCAAACCUCUGUGAUCAAAAAGGUCAUAGGAACUAGAGCAACAGCAGAUUGGGAAGUGGUGAAUGUCUUGCAUGGUGGAGUACUGUAGAGAAUGGCAUGCUUAUGAAACUUCACACAAAUACCUAGGCUCAGUGAGAUGGGAAGGAGGAGGGGCUGCAGAUAUUCAUCUCUACCCCACCUUUAUGAGAAUCAAAAUGCAUAACAUAGCAUUUUAGCAACCCUAAAAAACCUGCAGUGGAGAAGCUCAUUUACUAUUCUUUCAAGUAGGAAGUCCUGACUCAUUUGUCUGUGAAACCUUUCAUUCUUUGUAAUGUUUGUUACUAUUGUAAAGAUAAACUUUUUGAAAUACCAGAUUAGAUAAUCCUGAAAGGUCUGCCCUUGCUCUGAGGGUAUUUGGUUGCUAGGCAACUUUGCCCCUCCUUCAUGAGAAGCUCCCUUCCCAAAGUAAAUUGACAUCUGAACAACCUUCUUUCCAACAACAUUCAAACAACUAGUAUACUGGAAGAGGUCAAAACACUCAAUGUAUGUAAAAUUCCAGUGAGAUGAGAUAGCCAGGGAAGCACUGAAUGUUUAAUGAGCUUCUGUAGACUUAUAGAAAGUUCUAAAAAAUGAAAUGAAGAAAAACAGGAGUAAUCUUAAGUCUCCUUUACAUUAGACUUUGUGCAUUCUAGGAAUUUUGGGCUUGUAGAAAUAAAAUGCAAGUUUUAGUUAAACUAACAGUAAAUUUAAAUGAUAAAUAACAUCAAAGUGAUGAUAUCUGUAAAAGAAUGUUAAUGGUGCUAAUUAUGUGCUCAUUAGACUUUGCCAGUGUGUUUCUACAUAUGACUCCAUAUUCAUAAGUCAUGAAAUAGAUUUAUUUCUACUCGAUAAAACCAACCUGUUUAAAAAUUUUGAAAUCUCACAGCAGUUGCUCUGAAAGAGAUGAAGAGCAGCAGAAAUCUAAAUUACCUAGACUUUAUGAGCAGUUUCUUAACCCAUCUGUGCCUCCCUCCAACAUUUAUAAGAAUAGUUUUUUGCAUUUCAAGUAAAACUCAUGCUGUAAGCUAAGUGACAUGCCUUAAAUCGUAAUUUGUAUCACAAAAUCACUUGAACAAUAUUUUUCUGUACUGUGUCUCAAAAGAAGAAGAAGGAAAGGAAAAGAAAAAAACCCCAAAAAAUGACCUUUAACUUUAAAAACUUCACCAUUUGAAAGCCUGGUUAUUAAGAAAAAAGGCAUAAGAUGUGGUUCCCCCAUCAUAUCUGAUAUGGGGAUGGGAUCAGGGCACAAAACACAUUGUCAUGUAUAUAUAAGAUGCAGUGGGUGGGCACAAGUGAAACUGAAGUAGAAGGAUCAGUGAGGGAAAGCUUUGUAAAGAAUCUGAACUCGAGUUAGGUCUUUGAAGUAUGUAGGAGACUAGAGAGUAGUAGUUAGGCUAAAAGCAAGUGACCCACCUCCAUUGUGGGUCAUUUUGAAAGUCUGGUUAAUGAAGUUUAUUUUGAUAUAGGGGAGCAGCAGGAAGUCCCCACAGGCUUUAAGCAGGGAGUCCCAGGGUUUGGUAGGCUGGAAUGGUUAGGCAAGAUGAGUUACCUGAAUAAAAGCUAGUCUACUGAACUCAAUAUUUAAAAUCUGCGCAGACACCUUCUUGGUUGCCUGCUUGCCCUGCCUACUGGAGCCUCUUAAGAGCAGGGGCUGUAUUUCAUGUUCAUGUCACCAGUUCUUGUCUCUCAGGUGCCCACAUGACAGCCAACUGGAUGAAGUGUUUACAGUUUACAGUCCAGUGCAGAAGGAAAUAAAUGCUGACGGAGGAGGGUGACUAUUCAGAAGUCUAACAUUGUGGCUCCUGUUUCGUGUCCUCAGAACUUCUUCUGAAGUAUUUGAAGGAGAACUCUACCAGCUGUGAACACCCAACUGUUCUAAUCCAGAGGUGGCUCAUAAUAAAUGAAUAAAUAUUGAAAUCACAA